rnacentral:lncRNA from 1 species
CUCACCGUUCGUGAAGGGGCCACAUAAGUUAUCUUUACACUUUCCCUUGGAAAACCUGUCAAGUAAUUAGGUGAAAAAAAUAGUUACACUCAAGACAGAAGAAAACAAACUGAAAAACUAAACUAAACUCGAGGUAAAGUUUAUUUAAAUGACUAUUCUGAAACUAUUAAACGUGAACUGUAUCGUAUUAAUUGAACAUUUGUGAUUAUCAACGUUACAAAUUUAAAAUAGAGAUGAAAAUUCCUAGGAAUUAUAUGAAAAUUCAGAAGUGACUAAAGAAUUAUAACAGAAAAAUAAAAAAGAAGGCAACUGUGUUAUCGAUUAUGAUAUAUCAUUUUAAAACAUUCCUGAUUAUUAAGUAAAUCUACAUGCAGAAGAGUAAACUGAAUCUCUAUAUAGUUGAAAGAAAAGCAUGGAUUAAGAGAAAAGUAAAUGAGCAGACCAGGAAGAUAAACACGUAGAAGAUAAGCUUCUGGGAGUUCUUUAGUCUCUGAUUGGGGCUGCAAAGUCUCGUAGACGCGUCGAACAGAAAGUUGUGGACGAAAAGAUGUUGUUCUCUGCCUGGAAGCCAUAGCUGUCACAAAAUGCUUUGAGUGGGAUAUGUUUUUGUUUAAAUUUUCGUUGUAUAUCUAUGUUUAUAUACAAUGUGGGUG